GGAAAGUUGCAAAGAACUUUGAAGAGAGAGUUCAAGAGAACGUGAAAUCGCUGAAGUGGAACCGGAGAGAGUUAACAUAACUUGGUAGCUAUAUCCUCUAAAGUCGCUUAACUGUGGCUCUGGGGGGUGGACGCUACCUGUUGUUGCACUGACUGCGUUGAUUGUGCUUUCCGAACAGUAUAGUGUUGCCCACUUUGUGGUGUCUUGCUUUCUGGGAGGUUUGUCAUAAUUAACGUAAAGCCAAUUCCCUUUGGAGUCAGUGUGAAAGUUAACCACCUUUCCGACCCGUCUUGAAACACGGACCGAGGAGUGUAAUUUAUACGCGAGUCAAGGGGUGGUGAAAACCCUAGGGGCGGAAUGAAAGUAAAGGCCGGUUAACCGGUUGACAUGGGAUCCGCUCUUCGGAGCGGCGCACCAUGGCCCUGUCUUGUCUGCUUGCAGAUGGGCAGCGGUAGAGCGUAUAGUUUGCGACCCGAAA
rnacentral:rRNA from 5 species